rnacentral:rRNA from 1 species
AUUGAACGCUGGCGGAAUGCUUUACACAUGCAAGUCGAACGGCAGCACGGACUUCGGUCUGGUGGCGAGUGGCGAACGGGUGAGUAACAUAUCGGAACGUAUCCAAUAAUGGGGGAUAACCAAUCGAAAGGUUGGCUAAUACCGCAUACGCCCUACGGGGGAAAGCUAGGGACCUUCGGGCCUGGCGUUAAUGGAGCGGCCGAUAUCUGAUUAGCUAGUUGGUGAGGUAAAGGCUCACCAAGGCGAAGAUCAGUAGCUGGUCUGAGAGGACGACCAGCCACAAUGGAACAGAGACACGGUCCAGACUCCUACGGGAGGCAGCAGUGGGGAAUUUUGGACAAUGGGCGCAAGCCUGAUCCAGCCAUUCCGCGUGAGUGAAGAAGGCCUUCGGGUUGUAAAGCUCUUUCGCAAGGGAAGAAAACUUAUCCUCUAACAUAGGAUGAGGUUGACGGUACCUUGAUAAGAAGCACCGGCUAACUACGUGCCAGCCGCCGCCGUAACAC